UACGUAGGGUGCAAGCGUUAAUCGGAAUUACUGGGCGUAAAGCGGACGCAGGCGGCUAUGUAAGACAGGUGUGAAAUCCCCGGGCCUAACCUGGGAACUGCAUUUGUGACUGCAUAGCUAGAGUCCGUCAGAGGGGGGUGGAAUUCCACGUGUAGCAGUGAAAUGCGUAGAGAUGUGGAGGAACACCGAUGGCGAAGGCAGCCCCCUGGGAUGAGACUGACGCUCAUGUACGAAAGCGUGGGGAGCAAACAGG
rnacentral:rRNA from 1 species